rnacentral:rRNA from 1 species
AACGAACGCUGGCGGCAUGCCUAACACAUGCAAGUCGAACGAGACCUUCGGGUCUAGUGGCGCACGGGUGCGUAACGCGUGGGAACCUGCCCUUAGGUUCGGAAUAACUCCCCGAAAGGGGUGCUAAUACCGGAUAAUGUCUUCGGACCAAAGAUUUAUCGCCUUUGGAUGGGCCCGCGUUGGAUUAGCUAGUUGGUAGGGUAAAAGCCUACCAAGGCGACGAUCCAUAGCUGGUCUGAGAGGAUGAUCAGCCACACUGGGACUGAGACACGGCCCAGACUCCUACGGGAGGCAGCAGUGGGGAAUAUUGGACAAUGGGCGAAAGCCUGAUCCAGCAAUGCCGCGUGAGUGAUAAGGCCUUAGGGUUGUAAAGCUCUUUUACCCGGGAUGAUAAUGACAGUACCGGGAGAAUAAGCUCCGGCUAACUCCGUG